ensembl:lncRNA
AGAAGACAGACAAAUAAAAAAGAUACAUUGGUGUGAUAAAUGCUAAGAUACAAGUGUACACACAGUAGGUUAACAAGUGUAAAAGAGGAGCAUCUAAGGUACCACAGAAGUUGAGGUCCAGAAAGAUUUCCUGGGGGAGGGGGUAUAUAGGAAAAAAUUAUACUCUCCCCCUGUGUGUUUCUUCUCUAGUCUCAAUAUUCUCCAUCGCACUCACAACAUUUCUGACACCCAGUGUGUGGCUCUCCCCUCCCAUGCCAAGAAAUUCCCUGCAGUACCAGCUGGUUGUCCUAUAAUUCAAUUCAAGUCUCACACUAACUGGAGUUACUGCAGACCCCACAAAGUAAGAACUCAGUCCCUCAAGACUCCGCCGCCCACUUCAGACCCAAUCGCAAGUAGUGGGUCCCCAGAUUACCCACAAUUUCUGUCCCACUUGGCCACAAACUAGGGAUUCCUGUAAUUCCCCCCUCCCUUGGUUCAUUUGUUUCCUAGAAGAGGUCACAGAACUUGGAGAAAUACUUACAUUUAUUGGUUUGUUAUACAAUAAAAGAUAUGAUAAAGGAUGUAGACAGACAGCCAGAUGAAGAGAUGCAUAGAACAAGGUCUGGAAGGGUCCCAAGCACAGGAGCACCUGUCCCUGUGAAGUUGGGAUACAACCACUUUCGCAGCAUGUACAUGUGUUCACCAGUCUGGAAGAUCCCUGAAUUCUGUACGUUUGCAAUUUUAUGGAGGCUUCAUCACGUAAGUAUGAUCCAUCAUUAAUUCAAUUUCUAGCCUCUCUCCCUUUUCUGGAGGAUAGGGGAUGGGGCUGAAAGUUCCAAGCUUCUAGUCAUCGCCUGGUCUUUCUGGUGACCAGCCCUCCUCAAGGAGCCCACUAAGCAUUGCCUCAUUAGAACAAAAGACGCUCUUCUUCAAGGGAGUUAAGGAAAGCAGAAUCAGAGACCAAAUAUAAGAACAAAUCUUCCUAGUGCACUUAUCAAUUAAGAAGUCACAAGGGAGAGAGGACAAGAUGGCGGAGGAGUAGGGAGACAUGCUCACCCUCUCCCACAAACACAACAAAAAAAGCACAUCUACAGAAUAAAUGACUCACACAGAACAGCAACCAAUCACUGCCAGAGGAACCUAAACUCCAAUAACGGCAAGAAGUUCGUGACAUUAUUGGGCAGAACGGGAGAAAAGAGGAGAGUGAGAGAAGGUGAAUCUGAGUGGGACGGGGCUUCAGAAAGGGAACUGCGGAGGAGAAAGGGUUCCCGCACCCUGGAAAGUCACCUACCGGGGGAAAGAUCAAACAAACUGGAGAAAUCUCCAGAUGCAGAGAAGAGUGUAGCAGUAAGUUGGAGUACGGAAAAGCCGAUCAAGAACCCAACGGACCAUCUGAACUACGUACGGGCACAGUCACCAAAAAUUGAGACGCCUGGGUGGGGGCUGGGCACCGAGACCUCGGCUCCAGAGGUUAGUCCCCGGGCUGGGGGGGCGGGGCAGAGCGGAAACUGCUUGGGAGGUCUAGAAACCAUUUGACGGGGCAGAGACUGCCUGGGAGACUAGAAAACAAAGCUGUCGCAGAGGAAGGGAACAAUACUCUAGGAGCAGGGAAGUGGAAAGCCGCAUCAGAGGGAACCUGGGAGAAGAGUCUGGUCUGCGCCUGUGCUGGGGAGGGGAGAGAAGAAGGGGUGGGUCCCCAUAGAAUACCCCCCAUGCCACAGCAAGCUUACAGGCCCGCUAGCUAGCUGAAAGCUGUGCUUCCCAGUGCAUUCCCUCCCCCCACCCUCGCCACCCCCUACGCUCUCACCGGACCUGGGGCUGCCUGCCAUCCAGGAGGGCUGGCCUCAACAAUUGCCUGAAGCCUACCACCACAGGGGCUGUCCCUGCACAGGCCUGCUUGCCCUUUGGAGGGGCUACACUUCUGCAGAGCAGCACCAAACACCACCAGCCCCCGAGAAAAGGCCUGCAGCCCAGAAAAGCUAGAACAAGCCUAGCCAGGCCAUGAAUAGACCUGCCUAAUUCUCGGAAGGUUUUUCUGAGUCAGGCUGCCCCAGGGAGGAGCCUCUUGGACUUCCAGCGGCCCUGCUACCCGCCAAAGCCCCUAGGGGGUGCUGAGACCUAGGGGAUCAGCUGCAUAGGACUGCCAGCUCCAGGCAGGACCUGCUGCAGCCAGAAAAGCUGCAACAAGCUUGGCUGAGUCGGGAAAAGAUCUCAGACAGUCUUUCUGAGUCGGGCUGCCCUUGGGAGGAGCCUCUUGGGUCUCCAGCGGCCCUGCUACCCACCCAAAAUCCCAGAGGGUGCCCCACUCCCGCGGAAUAGCUGCUCAGCACCACUAGCCCCCUG